rnacentral:rRNA from 1 species
CAGUCGCCGCGGGAAUACGUAGGUGGCAAGCGUUGUCCGGAAUUAUUGGGCGUAAAGGGCUCGCAGGCGGUUUCUUAAGUCUGAUGUGAAAGCCCCCGGCUCAACCGGGGAGGGUCAUUGGAAACUGGGAAACUUGAGUGCAGAAGAGGAGAGUGGAAUUCCACGUGUAGCGGUGAAAUGCGCAGAGAUGUGGAGGAACACCAGUGGCGAAGGCGACUCUCUGGUCUGUAACUGACGCUGAGGAGCGAAAGCGUGGGGAGCGAACAGGAUUAGAUACCCCCGUAGUCCCUGUCUCUUAUAC